CAGUCGCCGCGGUAAUACGAAGGGUGCAAGCGUUAAUCGGAAUUACUGGGCGUAAAGCGUGCGUAGGCGGUGGUUUAAGUCCGUUGUGAAAGCCCUGGGCUCAACCUGGGAAUUGCAGUGGAUACUGGAUCACUAGAGUGUGGUAGAGGAUAGUGGAAUUUCCGGUGUAGCAGUGAAAUGCGUAGAGAUCGGAAGGAACAUCUGUGGCGAAGGCGACUAUCUGGGCCAACACUGACACUGAGGCACGAAAGCGUGGGGAGCAAACAGGAUUAGAUACCCCCGUAGUCCCUGUCUCUUAUAU
rnacentral:rRNA from 1 species